rnacentral:lncRNA from 1 species
GGUUUUCUGCUCCUCCUCCCCUCGUUUGGUGGAUCGCGGGAGUGCUCCCAGCGGGAAAAUGCUACGUGCAGGCUGAGCGUGGCUGGGGUGGAAGUGAAAGUGAAAAAAAGAUAGCGACAGACGUUUUUUUGUUUGUUUCUGAUAUCCUCUCUCUGAUGACCAGUGAUAAACCCGAGGGAACGGCAUGGAGCUGCUUCAGGGGAGGGUCAGGUUUGUCAUACAGAAGUGAGAGCCCUGCCUGCUGAUCAGCCCCCUUGCUCAUUUGGUUCCAAGGACAACUUUAACACCAUGAGGUUCUACUAAGUUGUGUGGACCAGAAUUGUACCACUUCUCAAAGUAUAGCUCUAUGUGCCCAGUUUGCACAGAACAGCAAAUUAAUGCCAUCUCUCUUAUUCUCGAUGUUUGGUAUUAAGUUUUCGUUGACUUUGUUUUGGCUGCUGCCUCCUACAGAGCCAGUGGUUUCAGGAGGGUAACUGAACUCUGAGGUGUCUUUCCUCAGGUGGAAGUAUAACCAUGGAGCUUACCAUUAUGCAAAUGUAGUUUCGAUUAUUUUUUUUUCAUAUGUGCACUGUGUUAUACUUCCUUACACUGAAGCUUCUCUGCUACUUCUCUUUUGUUCAUUCAGCUCUUUGACUCACAGCCAAGUUUUGCUUGAAAACCUGCCCUCAUUGACUUCUCUGGUUCCUUGCUUGUCUGUUUUCCUUAUUUCCCGAUAGCACUGCUGCCUUUCCCUGAUAACUCAGUGUUUACUUUCAUUUUCCAUUUUCCAUUUUCCCCUCCCACCACACUGAUCUGACCCAGUUCACAAGCAUUCCAGAGCCAAGCAGCCAGUGCUUCUUUUCCUUUUAAUAGUAUGUUUAAGAGAUCACUUUUAUGUGUGACUUUCUGUUCUCUUGGCUAACUACUUAAAACUGUCUUUGUGCAAGAUUUCAGGUACUUCACAACAAAUUAUACAGAAAUAGCCAGGUAAAAACAGAGGAGAAUGGAGUUGCCUUUUUUUUUUCUCCAAGGCAGAUCUUUGUGUUUAGAAUCAAUGUAGAGAGUAUAAAUCUGUUUCGAAAUUAACUUAUACUAAACAUUUUUCACUUUCUUCAACCGUACCUUUAUCAUUUUGUCUUUUGUACAGCAGGAAAUGAUGCUGAAGAGCAAAUGUGCUAACUAUGUGAAAAGCACUAUUCUCCUGGAACAUUAUUUUCAAGUUCUGCUUUUCUAGCAAAAAAGGAAGCACAGCAGUAUUAGCCACGUAUAUCCUGCUGGAUUCUUCUAUGCCAGUCAUGAGUCUAUGUGCCACCCAGUUUGCCAUUAAUAGCAGCAUUCAAACAUUUCUGAAAUAUUAUGUGUACAUUGAAAAUAUCUUUGAUGCAUACCUGAGGAACUGAAACACACGGGGUUCUGGGAUGCCAUUCUCUCACUGCAAGAGUGCUGUCAGGAACAGAGGGAGGGAACCAGAUCUCCUGCCACUUACAGAGACCACUGUGCUUUUCUGAACCUCCUCUUGAAGGCUAUAGGCCAGAAAAUCAGCCAUUGCUUGCAACAUUUACUGUAGAUUGCUAGUACUUGUACAUCCUCAGAGGGCACAUCCAGGUCUGGGUUUACACUGCAGUAACAAUCAGACAUAGGCUUUACAUGUAAUGCAGAGAGCAUCAUCUGAAUACACACUCAGCUGAAGCAAAAAUUAGAGAGAGAUUUCAUAAUUGCCAUUUCCUAAGAAAGCUCAGAGAAAAUUAUGAAGAACAGGAAGUCUUGAGUAAACUUCAGUGUUAAGUUCUCUGUACUUUUUUUUUUUUUCCCCUGGAAAUACAGAUCCCUCUUUCAAAAAGGAGCCCAGUUCAAAAAUGCCAAUGUUUUACUUUACUGAUACUCUUCAGACAUUGUUUCAGAAUCUUUUUGCAACAGAUGUAAAUCUUGUGUUGAGAUAAACUGGUGAUCAUUAAAAAAUUAAAUUGAUUUUGG